AGAGUUUGAUCCUGGCUCAGGACGAACGCUGGCGGCGGGCCUAACACAUGCAAGUCGAACGCACUCGACCUUCGGGUCACAUGAGUGAGUGGCGAACGGGUGAGUAACACGUGAGGAACCUGCCCCGAAGACUGGAAUAACCCGAGGAAACUCGGGCUAAUACCGGAUAUCCCCACCAGGUCGCAUGGCCAGGUGAGGAAAUGCUCCGGCGCUUCGGGAGGGUCUCGCGGCCUAUCAGCUAGUUGGUGAGGUAACGGCUCACCAAGGCAUCGACGGGUAGCUGGUCUGAGAGGACGAUCAGCCACACUGGGACUGAGACACGGCCCAGACUCCUACGGGAGGCAGCAGUGGGGAAUCUUGCGCAAUGGGCGAAAGCCUGACGCAGCCACGCCGCGUGAGGGAUGAAGGCUUUCGGGUUGUAAACCUCUUUCAGCAGGGACGAAAAUGACGGUACCUGCAGAAGAAGCCCCGGCCAACUACGUGCCAGCAGCCGCGGUAACACGUAGGGGGCAAGCGUUGUCCGGAUUUAUUGGGCGUAAAGAGUUCGUAGGCUGGUUGGUCAGUCGAAAUUGAAAUCCCACGGCUUAACCGUGGACCCGGUUUCGAUACUGCCAAUCUUGAGUGAGGUAGAGGUAAGCGGAAUUCCUGGUGUAGCGAUGAAAUGCGUAGAUAUCAGGAGGAACGUCAAAGGCGAAGGCAGCUUACUGGGCCUAUACUGACGCUGAGGAACGAAAGCGUGGGUAGCAAACAGGAUUAGAGACCCUGGUAGUCCACGCCGUAAACGAUGAGUACUUGGUGGUGGGGGAUUCGACCCCUUCACUGUCGGAGCUAACGCGUUAAGUACUCCGCCUGGGAACUACGACCGCAAGGUCGAAACUCAAAGGAAUUGACGGGGACCCAGAUCGGAAGAGCACACGUCU
rnacentral:rRNA from 1 species